CAGAAAGGGAGUGGGACCUGCCCACGGUCACACAGCAAAUCAGAGGGAGGGCUGGCCUCUACCCCAAGUCUUAGGUCUCUUGAGGUUGUUUUCUUCUGUUCCUUCUUUUCUUUCUUAUUUUCUUCAGCAGUUUGGGGUUUAAAUUUGCUGUGAACGAGCCACAAAGAGGACGAGCCCCAAAGCAGUUUUGUUAAUUCAACAAAUACUGACUGAGUGCCUAUUGAUGGCCAGGCACUGUUCCAGGCACCGUGGAUACGCUGUGAACAAAGUGGACAAAAAUCCUGCCUUCAUAGAGCCUUUUUGUUUGUUUGUUUUUGUUGGGAGAGAGACAGCCAGUAAGCAAUAAAUGCAGUGAGGAAACCGAGUCUCAGAGGAG
rnacentral:lncRNA from 1 species